rnacentral:rRNA from 1 species
GACGAACGCUGGCGGCGUGCUUAACACAUGCAAGUCGAACGGAAAGGCCCCUUUGGGGGUACUCGAGUGGCGAACGGGUGAGUAACACGUGAGUAACCUGCCCUUGACUUCGGGAUAACCUCCGGAAACUGGGGCUAAUACCGGAUAGGAACCUUUGCUGCAUGGUGGGGGUUGGAAAGCUUCGGCGGUUUUGGAUGGACUCGCGGCUUAUCAGCUUGUUGGUGGGGUAGUGGCCUACCAAGGCUUUGACCGGUAGCGGGCCUGAGAGGGCGACCGGCCACAUUGGGACCUAGGGACGGCCGAGACGCGGAAUGUAGGCAGCAGGGGGGAAUAUUGCACAAGGGGCGGAAGGCGGAUGCAGCAACGCCGCGGACGGGAUAACAGCCUUCGUGUUGUAAACCGCUAGCAGCAGAGGCGAUGCCUGUGGUGACGGUACCUGCAGAAGAAGCACCGGCUAACUACGUG